UACGUAGGGUGCAAGCGUUGUCCGGAAUUAUUGGGCGUAAAGAGCUCGUAGGCGGCUUGUCGCGUCGGCUGUGAAAACCUGGGGCUCAACCCCGGGCCUGCAGACGAUACGGGCAAGCUAGAAUUCGGUAGGGGAGACUGGAAUUCCUGGUGUAGCGGUGAAAUGCGCAGAUAUCAGGAGGAACACCGGUGGCGAAGGCGGGUCUCUAGGCCUUACCUGACGCUGAGGAGCGAAAGCGUGGGGAGCGAACAGG
rnacentral:rRNA from 1 species